CCUACGGGUGGCAGCAGUGAGGAAUAUUGGUCAAUGGCCGGAAGGCUGAACCAGCCAUGCCGCGUGAAGGUCAGUGCCCUAUGGGCGUUAAACUUCUUUUGUGCGGGAGCAAUAAUGGUCACGUGUGGCCAGACGAGAGUACCGUACGAAUAAGCAUCGGCUAACUCCGUGCCAGCGGCGGCGGUAAUACGGGGGGUGAAAGCGUUAUCCGGAUUAAUUGGGUUUAAAGGGUGCGUAGGCUGUGAGGUAAGUCAGCGGUGAAAUGCACCCGCUCAACGGGGUGAAGUGCCAUUGAUACUGCCUUGCUGGAAUGCGGAUGCCGUGGGAGGAAUGUGUGGUGUAGCGGUGAAAUGCAUAGAUAUCACACAGAACACCGAUUGCGAAGGCAUCUCACGAAUCCGCGAUUGACGCUGAUGCACGAAAGCGUGGGUAUCAAACAGGAUUAGAUACCCCAGUAGUC
rnacentral:rRNA from 1 species